AGUGAACGCUGGCGGUAGGCCUAACACAUGCAAGUCGAACGGCAGCACAGUAAGAGCUUGCUCUUACGGGUGGCGAGUGGCGGACGGGUGAGGAAUACAUCGGAAUCUACUUUUUCGUGGGGGAUAACGUAGGGAAACUUACGCUAAUACAGCAUACGACCUACGGGUGAAAGCAGGGGAUCUUCGGACCUUGCGCGAUUGAAUGAGCCGAUGUCGGAUUAGCUAGUUGGCGGGGUAAAGGCCCACCAAGGCGACGAUCCGUAGCUGGUCUGAGAGGAUGAUCAGCCACACUGGAACUGAGACACGGUCCAGACUCCUACGGGAGGCAGCAGUGGGGAAUAUUAGACAAUGGGCGCAAGCCUGAUCCAGCCAUACCGCGUGGGUGAAGAAGGCCUUCGGGUUGUAAAGCCCUUUUGUUGGGAAAGAAAAGCAGCAGGUGAAUACCCCGCUGUGCUGACGGUACCCAAAGAAUAAGCACCGGCUAACUUCGUG
rnacentral:rRNA from 1 species